UAAUAGCGUAUACUUAAGUUGUUGCAGUUAAAAAGCUCGUAGUUGGAUUUCGGGUGGGAAUGGCCGGUCCGCCGUUUCGGUGUGCACUUGCUACGCCCACCUUGCUGCCGGGGACGUGCUCUUGAGUUCACGCUCGGGACACGGAGUCGGCGAGGUUACUUUGAGUAAAUUAGAGUGUUCAAAGCAGGCCUACGCUCUGAAUACAUUAGCAUGGAAUAACACGAUAGGACUCUGGCCUAUCUUGUUGGUCUGUAGGACCGGAGUAAUGAUUAAGAGGGACAGUCGGGGGCAUUCGUAUUUCAUUGUCAGAGGUGAAAUUCUUGGAUUUAUGAAAGACGAACUACUGCGAAAGCAUUUGCCAAGGAUGUUUUCAUUAA
rnacentral:rRNA from 1 species